rnacentral:rRNA from 1 species
GGUAGUAACACGUGGAUAACCUACCUAUAAGACUGGGAUAACUUCGGGAAACCGGAGCUAAUACCGGAUAAUAUAUUGAACCGCAUGGUUCAAUAGUGAAAGACGGUUUUGCUGUCACUUAUAGAUGGAUCCGCGCCGCAUUAGCUAGUUGGUAAGGUAACGGCUUACCAAGGCACGAUGCGUAGCCGACCUGAGAGGGUGAUCGGCCACACUGGAACUGAGACACGGUCCAG